rnacentral:rRNA from 1 species
GGAGGGGGCUAGCGUUGUUCGGAAUGACUGGGCGUAAAGGGCGCGUAGGCGGUUUUUUAAGUGAGGCGUGAAAGCCCUGGGCUUAACCCAGGAGGUGCGCUUCAAACUGGAAAACUGGAGUACGUGAGAGGAAAGUGGAAUUCCUAGUGUAGAGGUGAAAUUCGUAGAUAUUAGGAAGAACACCAGUGGCGAAGGCGGCUUUCUGGCUCGUAACUGACGCUGAGGCGCGAAAGCGUGGGGAGCAAACAGGAUUAGAUACCCUGGUAGUCCACGCCGUAAACGAUGAGUGCUAGACGUUGGAAGGUAACUUUCGGUGUCGCAGCUAACGCAUUAAGCACUCCGCCUGGGGAGUACGGUCGCAAGAUUA